rnacentral:rRNA from 1 species
GACGAACGCUGGCGGCGUGCUUAACACAUGCAAGUCGAACGGAAAGGCCCUGCUUUUGUGGGGUGCUCGAGUGGCGAACGGGUGAGUAACACGUGAGUAACCUGCCCUUGACUUUGGGAUAACUUCAGGAAACUGGGGCUAAUACCGGAUAGGAGCUCCUGCUGCAUGGUGGGGGUUGGAAAGUUUCGGCGGUUGGGGAUGGACUCGCGGCUUAUCAGCUUGUUGGUGGGGUAGUGGCUUACCAAGGCUUUGACGGGUAGCCGGCCUGAGAGGGUGACCGGCCACAUUGGGACUGAGAUACGGCCCAGACUCCUACGGGAGGAAGCAGUGGGGAAUAUUGCACAAUGGGCGGAAGCCUGAUGCAGCAACGCCGCGUGCGGGAUGACGGCCUUCGGGUUGUAAACCGCUUUCGCCUGUGACGAAGCGUGAGUGACGGUAAUGGGUAAAGAAGCACUGGCUAACUACGUG